CACGGAUAAUAGAGUUAAGCACGGAUAAUAGAGGUAAACCACGGUUAAUAGAGGUCCAAAACCAAAAGAACAGCAUGCCGGUUAAAAGGGCUCAUCAACAUUCAACAAUUCCAACUAUCAACACUAACCUCUCACUUUAUAAUUGAAGAAUUACAAACGUGUAUCUAUCGACAACAUCUACAUCUAGUAUGUCAACCUAAUUGCAAACACCAAGUUUAAAAAAAAACUCAUCAUAUGAUCAAACUACAAUAAUAACGGAUCAACUUUU
rnacentral:sRNA from 1 species